rnacentral:rRNA from 1 species
UACGUAGGGGUCUAGCGUUGUCCGGAAUCAUUGGGCGUAAAGCGUCCGCAGGUGGCUAUGUAAGUCUGCUGUUAAAGAGUGAGGCUCAACCUCAUAAGAGCAGUGGAAACUACAUGGCUAGAGUGCGUUCGGGGCAGAGGGAAUUCCUGGUGUAGCGGUGAAAUGCGUAGAUAUCAGGAAGAACACCGGUGGCGAAAGCGCUCUGCUAGGCCGCAACUGACACUGAGGGACGAAAGCUAGGGGAGCGAAUGGG